GCUUACGGCCACACCGCCUGGUUCACGCCCGAUCUCGUUUGAUCUCGGGAAGCUAAGAUAGGGUGGGCCUGGUUAGUACUUGGAUGGGAGACCGCCUGGGAAUACCAGGUGUUGUAAGAU
rnacentral:rRNA from 1 species